UACAGAGGUCUCAAGCGUUGUUCGGAUUCAUUGGGCGUAAAGGGUGCGUAGGCGGUCUGUUGCGUCCGCUGUGAAAACCCGGGGCUUAACCCUGGGCUGGCAGUGGAUACGGACAGACUAGAGGUAGGUAGGGGAGAAUGGAAUUCCCGGUGUAGCGGUGAAAUGCGCAGAUAUCGGGAGGAACACCGGUGGCGAAGGCGGUUCUCUGGGCCUUACCUGACGCUGAGGAGCGAAAGCGUGGGGAGCGAACAGG
rnacentral:rRNA from 1 species